AUGGCUCAGGAUGAACGCUAGCUACAGGCUUAACACAUGCAAGUCGAGGGGCAUCAUGGAGUUGCUUGCAAACUCUGAUGGCGACCGGCGCACGGGUGAGUAACGCGUAUCCAACCUUCCCUAUAGUAGAGGAUAGCCCGGCGAAAGUCGGAUUAAUACUCUAUGUUUUCCGUUGCAGACAUCUAAGAUGGAACAAAGGCUUGCCGCUAUAGGAUGGGGAUGCGUCUGAUUAGGUAGUCGGCGGGGUAACGGCCCACCGAGCCAUCGAUCAGUAGGGUUCUGAGAGGAAGGUCCCCCACAUUGGAACUGAGACACGGUCCAAACUCCUACGGGAGGCAGCAGUGAGGAAUAUUGGUCAAUGGGCGAGAGCCUGAACCAGCCAAGUAGCGUGCAGGACGACGGCCCUAUGGGUUGUAAACUGCUUUUAUGCGGGGAUAAAGUUCACUACGUGUAGUGUUUUGUAGGUACCGCAUGAAUAAGGACCGGCUAAUUCCGUGCCAGCCGCUGC
rnacentral:rRNA from 1 species